GUAGGAUGCGAGCGUUGUCCGGAUUUAUUGGGNGUAAAGAGUUNGUAGGCGGUUUGUUAAGUUUNAUGUUAAAGAUCAAGGCUCAACCUUGGGAGUGCAUUGAAUACUGGCAGACUUGAGUGCAGUAGAGGCGAGUGGAAUUCUCAGUGUAGCGGUGAAAUGCGUAGAUAUUGGGAAGAACACCGGUGGCGCAGGCGACUCGCUGGGCUGUAACUGACGCUGAGGAACGAAAGCUAGGGGAGCAAAUGGGAUUAGAUACCCCAGUAGUCCUAGCUGUAAACGAUGGAUACUAGGCGUAGCAGGUAUCGACCCCUGCUGUGCCGUANCUAACGCGAUAAGUAUCCCGCCUGAGUAGNACGGCCGC
rnacentral:rRNA from 1 species